UGGUUAGGAGAGUUUCUCCCCUGUUAAGGGGAACUACGUCGCCCUGAUUCUCAUACCAGAUGAGAUACGUAGGCAGGAGAUCGAGCGGGAUCUCUCCGGGCGCCCUUUUUUCUUUUUAAGCCUUUUGUGUUCCUUUUGAAGUCUCAGCGUCUCUUCGUGUUUGCCUGCAACUAUUAGGUUCGAGUUCCAGACUCCCUAUUAGUUUGUUGUCA
rnacentral:lncRNA from 1 species